rnacentral:rRNA from 1 species
GAGACCCUACGGGAGGCAGCAGUAGGGAAUAUUGCUCAAUGGGGGAAACCCUGAAGCAGCAACGCCGCGUGGAGGAUGAAGGUUUUAGGAUUGUAAACUCCUUUUGUUAGAGAAGAUUAUGACGGUAUCUAACGAAUAAGCACCGGCUAACUCCGUGCCAGCAGCCGCGGUAAUACGGAGGGUGCAAGCGUUACUCGGAAUCACUGGGCGUAAAGAGUGCGUAGGCGGGGUAAUAAGUCAGAUGUGAACUCCUGUAGCUUAACUACAGAACUGCAUUUGAAACUGUUACUCUGUAGUGUGGGUGG